CAAUAGCGUAUAUUAAAGUUGUUGCGGUUAAAAAGCUCGUAGUUGGAUUUCUGUUGGGAACGACCGGUCCGCCCAUUGGGUGUGUAUCUGGCUUGUUCUCGGCAUCUUCUUGGUGAACGUUGCUGCACUUGACUGUGUGGAGCGCUACCCAGGACUUUUACUUUGAGGAAAUUAGAGUGUUUCAAGCAGGCAUAUGCCUUGAAUACAUUAGCAUGGAAUAAUAAGAUAGGACCUCGGUUCUAUUUUGUUGGUUUCUAGAGCUGAGGUAAUGAUUAAUAGGGAUAGUUGGGGGCAUUCGUAUUUAACUGUCAGAGGUGAAGUUCUUGGAUUUGUUAAAGACGGACUACUGCGAAAGCAUUUGCCAAGGAUGUUUUCAUUGA
rnacentral:rRNA from 1 species